rnacentral:rRNA from 1 species
AGAGCGAACGCUGGCGGCAGGCCUAACACAUGCAAGUCGAGCGCCCGUAGCAAUACGGGAGCGGCAGACGGGAUAGUAACACGUGGGAACGCGCCCUUCGGUUCGGAAUAACUCAGGGAAACUUGAGCUAAUACCGAAUACGCCCUUACGGGGAAAGAUUUAUUGCCGAAGGAACGGCCCGCGUCCGAUUAGCUAGUUGGUGAGGUAAUGGCUCACCAAGGCUACGAUCGGUAGCUGGUCUGAGAGGAUGACCAGCAUCACUGGGACUGAGACACGGCCCAGACUCCUACGGGAGGCAGCAGUGGGGAAUAUUGGACAAUGGGCGAAAGCCUGAUCCAGCCAUGCCGCGUGGAUGAUGAAGGCCUUAGGGUUGUAAAGUCUUUAACGGGAAGAUAAUGACGGUACCGUAGAAUAAGCCCGGCUAACUUCGUGCCAGCAGCCGC